rnacentral:rRNA from 1 species
GUCCACGCCGUAAACGGUGGGCACUAGAUGUGGGCUCUUUCCAUGAGUUCCGCGUCGCAGCUAACGCAUUAAGUGCCCCGCCUGGGGAGUACGGCCGCAAGGCUAAAACUCAAAGGAAUUGACGGGGGCCCGCACAAGCGGCGGAGCAUGCGGAUUAAUUCGAUGCAACGCGAAGAACCUUACCAAGGCUUGACAUAUACGGUCUAUCCCUAGAGAUAGGGAGUGCUUCGGCGCCGUAUACAGGUGGUGCAUGGUUGUCGU